AGAAAAUGUAUUGUACAUCGACAUUAUGAACGUGUGAAAGUUGAAAACAUGGCACAUAACCACGCGAGUAAUCAGCAUUAAAAAGCAUACUAUGUUCUUUCACCUUUCUUUCCUUUUUAUAUCCGUAUAUACCAGUUCACGAAAAUCCAAGAGGAUAUUUGGUGUAUAAAAUAUAGCUCUCUUCUAUUCUCUGGCCUAUGCAUAGCCUCAUACACCCACUUCGAUAGAUUUCCCCAACUCUUCCCUCAGAAUAUCAAAUAAUCAUAUCCCCUUUUCCAUUUUCCUGCCACCUUCCCAUUUAUAUUUGUGUGGCUAGCUACCCCAUUUCACCAAUCUGCAUUACUUGCCCCUCCUCUGCCUCUCUCUUUCUCCAUUUCUUUCUCUCUCGAUUCACCUGCUUAGUGAUUAGAGACAUAACAAAUUAAAAUGGGUGACAUUGCUUGCUCUAAUGGGAUUAGCAAUGGGAAUGGAAUGAAUGGAAAAGGACAUUCGUCUCCAAAUGGCUAUAGGAAGAGCUGCUGGUACGAAGAAGAGAUUGAAGAGAACUUGAGAUUUUGUUUUGCUCUCAAUAGCAUUUUGCACACAGGAGCUACUCAGUAUCAGGAAAUUGCCCUGUUGGACACAAAGCCAUUUGGAAAGGCUUUAAUCAUUGAUGGAAAGCUUCAAAGCGCAGAGGUGGAUGAAUUCAUCUACCAUGAAUGCCUUGUUCAUCCAGCACUAGUUCAUCAUCCAAAUCCAAAGGCCAUCUUUAUAAUGGGAGGAGGUGAAGGUUCGACCGCAAGAGAAAUACUCAGACAUAACAGUGUGGAUAAGGUUGUAAUGUGUGAUAUUGACGAGGAAGUGGUAGACUUCUGCAAGGCCUACUUGGCUGUGAAUAGAAAAGCUUUCUGUGAUCCAAGACUCGAGAUCAUCAUCAAUGAUGCCAGGAGUGAGCUAGAAAGCAGGAAAGAAUGCUAUGAUGUGAUCAUAGGCGACUUGGCAGACCCAAUAGAAGGAGGCCCAUGUUAUAAACUUUACACCAAAUCCUUUUAUGAGUUCAGUGUUAAACCCAAACUUAAUCAGGGUGGCAUAUUUGUCACACAGGUACCUAUACUCACAGAGAGAGUGAGGAUUUUUAAAAUUUUGCAGGGGAAUUAACCUGCUAACAAUGUCUUGCAAUUAAAAUUUACAGGCAGGGCCAGCAGGAAUUUUCAGCCAUACAGAAGUGUUCUCUUGCAUUUACAAUACUUUAAGGCAGGUCUUCAAAUGUAAGUAGAAAACUAAAUAUUUUCUGCCAACUUUAUUGUUUUGUCUCUUUCUAAACCAAAAAGAGCUCAAUUUUAUUACUUUCCAUGUGCAGAUGUGGUACCUUAUUCAGCUCAUGUUCCUUCCUAUGCUGAUACAUGGGGAUGGAUCAUGGUAUUAACAAAUUCCAUAACUUUUCUGCACUCUUUUUAGUAAAUCACAGACACUGAUUAAUAAUAAUUGUUAUAACAAUAAUAAUAACAGGCUUCAGAUAGCCCAUUGGUGCUGAGUGCUGAUGAGUUUGACCUCAGAAUCAAACAAAAAAUCAGAGGGGAGAACAGGUACCUUGAUGGGAAAACAUUUUCAUCAGUCUCUAUCUUGAGCAAAGCCGUUCGCAAAUCACUGGACAAUGAGACCCAUGUAUACACGGAGGGAACAGCAAGAUUCAUAUAUGGGCAUGGCAGUGCUUACAAGCAGAAUCAUGCUUAAGAAAUUGAUAUAAAUUUAAGAAGAACCCCUACCAAAAGCACAAAAGUGAAUUAAGAA
rnacentral:misc_RNA from 1 species